CCAGACUCCUACGGGAGGCAGCAGUGGGGGAUAUUGCACAAUGGGGGAAACCCUGAUGCAGCGACGCCGCGUGGGCGAAGAAGUAUUUCGGUAUGUAAAGCCCUAUCAGCAGGGAAGAAGAAAUGACGGUACCUGAGUAAGAAGCACCGGCUAAAUACGUGCCAGCAGCCGCGGUAAUACGUAUGGUGCAAGCGUUAUCCGGAUUUACUGGGUGUAAAGCGCUCGUAGGCGGUAUGUCAAGUCAAGGGUGAAAUCCCCGCGCUCAACGUGGGAACUGCCUUUGAAACUGGCAAACUGGAGUGUGUGAGAGGAUAGUGGAAUUCCAGGUGUAGGAGUGAAAUCCGUAGAUAUCUGGAGGAACAUCAGUGGCGAAGGCGACUAUCUGGCACAUAACUGACGCUGAGGAGCGAAAGCGUGGGUAGCAAACAGGAUUAGAUACCCCAGUA
rnacentral:rRNA from 1 species